rnacentral:lncRNA from 1 species
CAUGUUUAUUUAUGUAUAUUAAGUUGCGUUACAUUUUUAUGCAUAGUCAUUUCGUAUAUAUUAUCUUGUUUAUAAUAUAAUAAAGAAGUAACUCAAUAGGUGAAGAAGUGAAGAAUUAUUCCUAAGUGCAAGAACAUAGUAACUGCAAUUAAUUACAUAUCAAUCACCUUCAACGGAUCAAGAAAGUUGGAGAAAGAGACUAUAUGAUGGUGUCUCGGAGGAACUUGUGUUAUUUUCGUCAUCGUUUUAAUAGAAGCUUUCGACGUCGAGGUUGCCAGAAGUAAAGAUGGGCGCAUUAAAGAAAUUGAAGGCCAUGCAUCCUGAGCAACAUGGAAAUUAUUUUUGAGCUGGAUACCAGUAAAUAUAGGAAUCACAUAUAUAGGAGCAAUGAUUGACUUGAUUGACUAAGUCAGAUGUCACUAUCACAUACCUUGAUGGGAAAGGGGGAUCUACACAUUGAACGAUUCUUCAAUGAAAUAAAAUGAAAUCAAUCUAAUGAGACACACAGAGACGAUAUCCCUUGAAAAGAACAACAAGAGAGGAUCAGAAGGCUUGUCACUAGGAUAUCCAAAUUUAAAAUAUAAACUCCUAGAGAAAAUGGAUGGAUGCAGAUCGAAUGAAUUACAAUCCAGGCGGAGGGGGAACUUUUUUUAAGGCACUUUACUAAUAAAAUUGGUUAUAUUCUAUAUUGCACCUAGCUAACCGGCUAAUAUAGUCUUUAUUACAGGGAAAUGUUCUACAACAAUUAUUAAUAAAUAAUGAAUAAAAAAA